GUGCUAUACAUGCAAGUCGAGCGAAUGGAUUAAGAGCUUGCUCUUAUGAAGUUAGCGGCGGACGGGUGAGUAACACGUGGGUAACCUGCCCAUAAGACUGGGAUAACUCCGGGAAACCGGGGCUAAUACCGGAUAACAUUUUGAACCGCAUGGUUCGAAAUUGAAAGGCGGCUUCGGCUGUCACUUAUGGAUGGACCCGCGUCGCAUUAGCUAGUUGGUGAGGUAACGGCUCACCAAGGCAACGAUGCGUAGCCGACCUGAGAGGGUGAUCGGCCACACUGGGACUGAGACACGGCCCAGACUCCUACGGGAGGCAGCAGUAGGGAAUCUUCCGCAAUGGACGAAAGUCUGACGGAGCAACGCCGCGUGAGUGAUGAAGGCUUUCGGGUCGUAAAACUCUGUUGUUAGGGAAGAACAAGUGCUAGUUGAAUAAGCUGGCACCUUGACGGUACCUAACCAGAAAGCCACGGCUAACUACGUGCCAGCAGCCGCGGUAAUACGUAGGUGGCAAGCGUUAUCCGGAAUUAUUGGGCGUAAAGCGCGCGCAGGUGGUUUCUUAAGUCUGAUGUGAAAGCCCACGGCUCAACCGUGGAGGGUCAUUGGAAACUGGGAGACUUGAGUGCAGAAGAGGAAAGUGGAAUUCCAUGUGUAGCGGUGAAAUGCGUAGAGAUAUGGAGG
rnacentral:rRNA from 1 species